rnacentral:piRNA from 1 species
UGCCUUAAGGAGUGUGACCUGAGAGCCCGU